AGGAUCAAGCGUCUGAAGGGCAUCUGGUGAAUGCCUUGGCACUGAGAGGCGAUGAAGGACGCAGCACGUUGCGAUAAGCCAUGGGGAGCCGCGAGCAGGCUUUGAUCCGUGGAUUUCCGAAUGGGGCAACCCACCGCGCAAGCGGUAUCCUCACCUGAAUUCAUAGGGUGGGGAGGCGAACCCGGCGAACUGAAACAUCUAAGUAGCCGGAGGAAAGGACAUCAACCGAGACUCCGCUAGUAGUGGCGAGCGAACGCGGACCAGGCCAGUGGUUGGACCGACAUAACCGGAAGCGUC
rnacentral:rRNA from 1 species